rnacentral:lncRNA from 1 species
GCCUUCUGAAAUUGUGAUGAAAACAUAGAUAGAAAGCAUCAUAAAUGCAUGCCCAUCUGCAACUGUUUGACUAUAAAGCUGUCAGUGAAGUAGAAUAUCGGAAAUAUUUUCAUAGAAAUGUUCGUUGGAAUUAAUAUUUUCUUUCUGGUGGUGGCAACAAGAGGACUUGUCUUAGGAAUGCUGGGAAACGGGCUCAUUGGACUGGUAAACUGCAUUGAGUGGGCCAAGAGUUGGAAGGUCUCAUCAGCUGAUUUCAUCCUCACCAGCUUGGCUAUAGUCAGAAUCAUUCGACUGUAUUUAAUACUAUUUGAUUCAUUUAUAAUGGUAUUGUCCCCUCAUCUAUAUACCAUCCGUAAACUAGUAAAACUGUUUACUAUU